UACAGAGGGUGCAAGCGUUAAUCGGAAUUACUGGGCGUAAAGCGCGCGUAGGUGGUUUGUUAAGUUGGAUGUGAAAUCCCCGGGCUCAACCUGGGAACUGCAUCCAAACUGGCAAGCUAGAGUAGGGGCAGAGGGUGGUGGAAUUUCCUGUGUAGCGGGUGAAAUGCGUAGAUAUAAGGAAGGAACACCAGUGGCGAAGGCGACCACCUGGGCUCAUACUGACACUGAGGUGCGAAAGCGUGGGGAGCAAACAGG
rnacentral:rRNA from 1 species